AGUAUUCUUGCGCUGACUGGCGCUGGUUGUGCUUGUGUUCAGAUCGAAUUCAGGGAUCGCAAGCAUAUCCUGUACGCGAAAGGAUAUACCCCUCAGUCAAGCAACAAUUUGUAUUGUCAUCCUAGCAGCUUGAAAAAUAUAUAAAGAAUAUAUAAUUAGCAGCAAAUAAGUGAUAGGGAUUUCAUCAAGUGCUAUGUUAAAAUUAGCGAAUGUGAAACUGCUCCUCGUGAGCUGGAGUUGCCUGGCAGCUGUGGCGCAGGCAAAGUCCUACGGUUCCCCAGAUCUCGACAUAGACAGCGACAACGCCAUUGUCGCUCACGAGGACACAUUGGACCCGUUUGCAAGUUGUGAAAUCUACUGCUAUGGCAAUCUAUUGCACACUAUCCAAAUGGCUUCACCUCCAUUGUUCUCGGACUCAAAGACGUUUGUGGACAUGACACUUAAGAAUUCGCCCGACAAGACCCUUGCCGACUUUAAUGCAAUGAUGGAGGCCAAAAACAAUACGCCCAGCAGGGACGACCUGAAGAUAUUCGUCGAUGAAUACUUUGGAGUCAAAGGCACCGAACUAGAAUCGUGGGAACCCACGGACUGGAAAGAGAAUCCCAAGUUCCUCGAUCUUGUUUCUGACCCAGACCUUAAGCAGUGGGGCAUGGAACUGAAUAACAUUUGGAAGAAACUGGGCCGCAAAAUGAAGGACGAUGUGAAGAAGAACCCGCAGCACUACUCGAUCAUCCCGGUGCCCAAUCCAGUGAUUAUACCCGGUGGUCGUUUCAUUGAGUUCUACUACUGGGACUCCUACUGGAUCAUCAGGGGACUGCUCUACAGCGAGAUGUACAACACUGCCCGCGGCAUGAUUGAGAACUUCCUGUCGAUCGUGAACAGGAUCGGUUUCAUUCCGAACGGCGGACGAGUCUACUACCAUGGCCGCUCCCAGCCGCCACUUUUGACCGGAAUGGUCAAGUCAUAUGUGGAGUUCACCAACGAUGACCUGUUCGCCAUUAAUGCCUUGGAGGAUUUGGAGCACGAGUUCGAGUACUUUGUGAACAACCACACGGUGGAGGUCAAGAAUCACAGCCUGUGCGUCUAUCGCGAUUCGUCGUCGGGUCCGCGACCAGAGUCCUACAGUGAAGAUUUCAAGAGCGCUGCUAAAUUCGAGUCAAACGACGACAAGGAGCGUCUUUACACCGAGCUGAAGGCCGCGGCUGAAUCGGGAAUGGACUUUAGCACGCGCUGGUUCAUCUCUGAGAAUGGCACCAACGAAGGAAAUCUGACCAACCUAAGUACCACCUCCAUUGUGCCCGUCGACCUGAACGCCUAUCUGUACUGGAACGCCAAGAUGAUAGCCGAAUUCCACUCCAAGGCCGGCAACACCAAGAAGGUGAUCGAGUACGAGAACAAGGCCGAGAAGCUUUUACUGGGCAUCCAAGAAGUGCUGUGGAACGAGGAGGUCGGAUGCUGGCUGGACUACGAUAUGAAGAACGAAAAGCCGCGCAACUACUUUGUGUCCACCAAUCUCUCGCCGCUGUGGGCUAAGGCCUUCAACAUUUCCGAUACGGAAAAGAUCUCGGCUAAAAUUAUGGCCUAUAUUGAGAAGAACAAGCUGGACACAUAUCCUGGCGGAGUUCCCAACACGUUGGCCACUCCCGGAGAGCAGUGGGACUUUCCCAAUGUGUGGGCGCCGAUGCAGUACAUCGUGGUCGAGGGCCUAAACAACCUGAACACUCCCGAGGCCAAGAACAUGUCCAAGAAGUGGGCCACCCGCUGGGUGAAGUCAAACUUCAAGGCUUAUACCGACAAUUUUGACAUGUACGAGAAGUACAAUGCCGAAGUUUUCGGAGGACAUGGCACAGGUGGCGAGUAUGAAGUGCAGACGGGAUUCGGCUGGUCCAACGGCGUGAUCAUCGAGUGGCUAAGCAAGCACGGACGCGAUAUUUCGACGGGCGCGGGAGGCGGUGCAUCAGGUGAUGAGCCGCAAUAGAAUGAAUCUGUAGCCAGGCCACAACGCUAUCCAUCAGACAUCAUUGUCAGACAUCAGAUAUCAUCGUCAGACAUCAGACAUCAUCACAGGCUCAAAGCCAAAGCUUUUUUAAAUAAAUUGUAUUUAGAUAUUUGUUAAGCAUCCAUCCAAAAGCGCUCAUAAAUUGCUCAUUCUUAGGCUAAGACAAUGCUCUCUCUCUCUGCAAUAUCUAUACCUACAUACGCCGCUGUCCAUAAUCUAUAUCUGUAUCGCGAACUAUCGAACUAUCGAAAUCCCGGGUCAAGCACUACGAACCAGAGCACCACAAUCACAGCACCGCCAGGAAUCAGGAUCCGAUGUCCGCCAUCCAUCGAGCAUCUCUGUACUGUCUGUUUUCCAUUAAAUCCACGUCCAGUCCACGUUUGCACAUUCGUGUGACUUGUCCAAAUUCAAGCAAAAAUCGAAAAGAACAUUAUAUGUCUCAAAGCAGUCCGAGCGUCGCGACCAAGUUGAGGAUUCACGCCUGUGAGAGUGAUGAGCGUUGUGGGCGUGGCAGCUGUUACUAUAGUGGCUCUGAUAGCUGGUCGUGUUCUAUGGUGAGACAACCUGUGCCAAAACAACCCGUAAUUGCUUCCCAAGUAACGUGAUUCCCCCAUGCGUGUGUGUGUGUGUGUGUAGUGUCUGUUAUUGUUCAUGACUUUCGUUGAAUGCGGAGAUUGCAGUAUUAGUUUAACAUUAUUUGGUAGUUGAAGUGAGAGUUGUAUAUACUGAAUUUAUAUGGGCAUGCCCAAAAUUGUUAGUAUGUUUUAAUAUUUAGCAAAUACCUAUACCAAUCCUAGCUCCUCGCAACCAAAUGAAGACACAAAUACAAUUGUUAACAAAAA